UACGUAGGGUGCAAGCGUUGUCCGGAAUUAUUGGGCGUAAAGAGCUCGUAGGCGGUCUGUCGCGUCGGCUGUGAAAACCCGGGGCUCAACUCCGGGCCUGCAGCCGAUACGGGCAGACUAGAGUUCGGUAGGGGAGACUGGAAUUCCUGGUGUAGCGGUGAAAUGCGCAGAUAUCAGGAGGAACACCGGUGGCGAAGGCGGGUCUCUGGGCCGUAACUGACGCUGAGGAGCGAAAGCGUGGGGAGCGAACAGG
rnacentral:rRNA from 1 species